ACUAUGUCAUAGAGUUGCACCUCUUAAUUCGAAAGAAAUAAGAAUGAAAAUCCUUAUGACUACAUUGAGUACAUAUACGAUAUAUACUCAAGGAAUGGUAAAGUACCAUUUGACCGAAAUAAUGAAACCUUCAUAAGCUAAUUGGUAGCUUAAGGUGACUACAAUCAAAGAGAAUGGUUUGACUUUGAAGAACCAUUUUUGACGUAGUCUUAGUUUCAAUUAAUUCGAAGAUUGCUAGCUACAACUAAAUGGUGAUUC
rnacentral:lncRNA from 1 species